rnacentral:lncRNA from 1 species
AAACAUUGUAUCGUUAACAUACCUACUCCAUUUUUAAAGACAUAGCGGAGAAAGUGGAGGAGAAGAAACCAAAGCAAUGAACCAGUCGACCUCACCGGAGGGAGAAAAUCCGGCCAUCGUCGAUCAGAAGUGGGAUCCCCACGACCCUAUUCAAGAUUAAUUUUAGUUCCUAUUUAAUCGGUUAGUUAAGUCAUGAGAGUUGAGACUAUGUUAGUUAUUUUAAGAGCGACAGAUGAUGGUUGUAACUAGGGGUGAAAAUGAGAUGGUCACGAACGGGACGGUAUUGCCUCUGGUAUCCACUCUGUUUUGCCAAAACAGGACGUGGAACGGGAUGGUAUUGAGGCAUCUGCCACAAUAUUUAAUCUUCCGGGUUUGUAAAUUAUAAUUAAUUGCAAAAUCAAAUCUUAACAAUUUACACAGAAACAUUUGUUGUUUAGAAGUCUGAAUGACUUGCGUUAACACAUUUUUUAAAAUUCUGUGAUCAGUCCUGAUAAUGAAUCUGGAUCCCAGUAAAUAAUGUCUUCACUUAUUUACUGUUUGUGUUAUAGCAAACAUCUCUUUAAUAUAGACUGAGACACCUAUCAUUCUUUCAGAAAUUUUACAACUGUAGAAGGCAAUCAGGUGUUUCUCUUGAAUUAGAACUAGUUGUCCACACUCCAUUAGCACAAGUAUCUGUUUCAAUUUUGAAUUGUUUUUAAAAAUUUGGAUAAUUUAACACAGGUGUUGUAGUCAUGGCUUUUUUCAGACUUCGGUCUCCAUUUAAAACUGUCUUUUUUAAUAUAUCAGUCAGGACAGAAGCUAUUUGUGCAUAAUUUCUCACAAAUCUUCUAUAAUAUCCAGUUAAGCCUAAGAAUCCCCUCAGUAGCUUGAUUGUAGACGGUUUCUUCCAUUCUAUCAUUGUUUUGAUUUUAUCUAGGCCAGGGUGAACUCCCUCAGAUGAUAUAAUGUGACCCAAGAAACCUACAGAUCGAUUCCUUCCCAAAAGAGCAUUUAGGAAGUUUAGCCAGUAGCUUAUUGCUCCUCAGAAUUUCGAAGACUUGAGCUAAAUGUUCCAGAUGAUCAGAAAUAGAUGAGUUGUAGAUAAGAAUAUCAUCAAAGAAAAUUAUGACAAAUUUUCUUAAAUAUCUCUGAAAAAUAGAAUUCAUCACAGACUGAAAUGUUGAUGGGGCAUUAGUAUGCCCAAAUGGCAUAACCAGAAAUUCAUAAUAGCCAGUGUGUGUUCUGAAUGCAGUCUUGUGAGUGUCAGAUGGAUAUAUUCUGAUCUGAUGGAAUCCCGAUCUUAGGUUAAGUUUUGAGAAGAUGGUGGCUCCUUUUAAUUUUCCUAGCAACUCGUCCACUGUAGGGAUUGAAAACUUUUCCUUGAUGGUCAUGGCGUUUAGGGCUUUGUAGUACGUCAACACACAUCCUGUAACCUUCGUCUUUUUAUUUAUUAGAAGGACAGGUGAUGAAUAUGAACUUGAGCUGGGUUUGAUUGUCUUUUAUUUUAACAUUUCAACUACUAAUUUCUCAAUUUCAGUUUUUUUAAAUUGGGGAUCGAUACAUGUUGGGUCUCACAUUUACAGGUUGGUUGUCUAGGGACAAGAGGAAUCUGUGUUCUUGUUCUCUGACAGGUGGUAGUUCAUAUGGAUCAGCAAAUAUAUCAUUGAAUUGUUGCACUACUUUAUGGAUCUGAGGUUGUUCUUCUUUCAAUGUUUUUUGUUUUACUGGUGUCUUCUCUACUGUUUCAUAAUAGCAUAGAUAUGCUUCUCUAGUGCUAGCAUAUAAGCUCUUCAAUUCAGCAGAUAUGAGUGGUUCAUUUGAUAUCCACUCUAAGUCUUUCCAUGUAAUUUCUUUGUUUUCCCAAGUGAAGCUCAUUUUCAUAUUAUCAUAAUUAGAUAGAAUAUUGCCCACUUUCUUUAGCCACUGUAUGCCAAUUACCACAUUUGAACCUGACAUCUUGAUCAGAAAAAUAUCCAUGCAUACUAUAACACCUUGUAUUUUAAUCUCAACAUUUUUGCACAUCUUGUCGCAUAUUAUUUUUUCUUCCCCACUAGUAGCUACUGUAAAUGGCUUUAUUGCAUGUAUCACUAGUUUCAAUCUGAUAGCUGUCUCUAUUUGAAUGAAAUUAUGUGUAGAUCCCAAAUCUACUAGUAUGCUUACAGCUUGGCUCUUAAUAAACCCUUCUAGCUUGAAGGUGUUGGGGUUCAAAUGUCCUUCAAAUGCGUGCCUGCUGAUCCCUGAAGGAGAUUCAUCACUUGUGAUGAUUGAUGGUAUUUCUUCUGUGAUAUUUUCUGUUUGUUCUUCCAUUUCCAUCAACCAGGAUUCAUCAGCUGAUAGCAUAAAAAUUCUUCCUUUGCAUUUGUGUCCAAGAGUAAAUUUAUCUUCACAGUUAAAGCAUAAGCCUUUAGCUGCUCUUUCCUUUCUUUCUUCCUGAGAUAGUCUUUUGAAGGUUGAUAUUUUUCCUGGCCUUUCUUUCUUUACGUCAGUUCCCCUUUUAUUUUUCUCAUUUACAGUUUUGUAUGUUGUUUCAGUUGCAUUACCCCAGUGUUUAUUCUGUUUAUUGCUGUAGCUGAAUUUAUUAAAUUUAGAUCAUGUCUGUCCUUCAAUCAACAAAGCCACAUCACCAACUUCUUGCUAAUCAUCUGGUCACUGGCUUUAAUUACUUCUUUUCUGAUGUUUUCUUUUAAUUCAGAAAUGAACAUUUCUAGAAUAAAAUAUUCUGGUAAUCCCAAACACCUCGUGCUCAUCUCUUCAAAUUUAUCUUGAUAUUCAGUAACACUUAGAUCUUGCAUUAGUUUGUUUAAAUUCCCCCUGGUAAAGAGUAGUAAACUCUGUUGAAUUUUCUUGUGACAUCAGCCGUAAACUUUUUCCAUGUUGAUAGGAAUCCACUAGCUUCCAUCCAUGAAAAUCACUUUCUUGGAACAAUUAGCAAUUUCUGUUCCUCAAGAGUUUUAUUGUAAAUAAAAAAUCUCCUUACUUGGAACAACCAACCUUCAUACCAUCAAAUCUUGAUAUGUAAACUUUAAAUGUUUUGGAAGGCGUGUAGUUUUCAUCUUCCAGUACGCAAGCUGCAUAUUCAGGUCUGUCCAGAUCUACCAGAGAUAGGUAACUAUGGUCAUUAAACUUUCUUUUUUUUGGGUCUGGGUCUGGAUCUGGAUUUUUUUUUUUGGGGUCACGAACGGUUGAUAGCUUCGAAAAAUUUCUUUAUUUGUCUAGCCAUUUCAGAUAUCGAGUUUGAUACUGAUACUCUAAACUCUGUUAAUUCUUUCCCUUGGGCCAUUUGGAGUUGUAAUCUUGUGAAGUCUGGAUUAGAUAUUUUAUCUGUCAUUUUUGUUCUAGAGCCUGCAAUGAGUACAAGUGUUGAAAAUACCAAUUGAUACCACUAAAUUUAAUUAGAGGUAACAGAGCAAAUUCACCUUCGAGAAUGUGAGACUCCGGUCCGAUGAUCUGAGAUCUCGGGUGCCAAGAGUCGAUCACAGCGAGGAUAAACCUUUUAUCUCUAAAAGAAUAAUCAGAGUGAUUAGUCAUAAAAGGGUGUUUAAAUAAACAUCCUAUACUGAACUGGAUCUACUUGUAAAUAAAUAAAACAAAUUAAGGGUCAUACAGUUUCAUCUAAAGAAAGAAACUGUGAGGUCAAAAAGGAAAAAUGCACACUUAAAGGCAGUUACGAGAUACAAAGAAUCACGAGGGUCGGAUUGCAACUUUAGCCACUUAAAGGCACUCGGGAAAUACAAAGAAGUAUGAGGAUCAGACUACAACUUUAGCCACUUAAAAUAAAGAUAUCGGGCUAAUGGGUAUUCGGACUGCCAUCCGAUUAAAAAUCUGUUUAGUUAAUUAGUUAGUAAAUCUUGUAUUAACUUCUUAAGUUAGUUGGUUAGUUAAUUGGGAUUUCCUAUUAAAUACAACAUUGUAAUCUCUUUUAAUUAAUUGAAUGAAAGAGUUAACUACUUAAGUUUAUACUCAUCACAUCUCUACAGUGAUAACGGCUAAGAAAUUAGGUAAUACGAAUUACCCUAAUUUCUCCCCCAUUCCAGUCGAUUGCUCCCCGUCCGGCGAGCCACUGGAAGUUCAUUCUGCGUGUUCUUCAACUACAGAGCGUGCUCACAUUUUAAUAUGGUAUCUGCCGGUAGUGUCGGUCGUGCUUCCGCUAAUGAAGGAGAGGAAGAGAUCGUCGUUACCCAGAACGAGCAAGAUAAUCAGUCAGGGUCGUCGAGCUCAGCUCCAUCCUCUCCGCCGUCAAUUCUCCACUCCCCUCGCCGCAAGUCGCGCUCAUCCUCCAAGCAUAGACAAAAGAGUCAUCACGGGCAUCACUCCCACAAAUCAAAGAGAUUGGGCCCUGUUUCAGCAAUAAACAACAGGGAGUCUAUCUAUUACUUAAACUCUGGAGAUCAUCCAGGGGCACUGAUAGUCUCUGAUAAGUUGAUUGGGGAGUCCAGUUAUGCAAGUUAGGCAAAUGCCAUGAGGCUCUCCCUACUGUCCAGAAGAAAAAUCAACUUUGUGAAUGGGAUUCAAAAACCAGAGGAUAGAGGAGGAAAAGAAUUUGAAGCAUAGGAGACAGUGAAUGGCCUAGUUCUCUCAUGGAUUGUCAACAGUGUAUCACCUCAGAUAUCAUCUACACUCAUGCAUACUGAAGAAGCAAGCAUUGCUUGGAAGGAUCUUCAAAAAAGGUAUAACCAAGGAAAUGCACCUAAGGUUAACCAAGUGAGGUAUGAUCUAAAUAAUUUACAUCAAGGAUCUGAUAGUGUCACUGUUUUUUAUGAUAAGUUCAAAUCCCUAUGGAAUCAAAAAUUAGAAUUAGAAGACAUUGAUUUUUGUAGUUCAUGCACUCCCAAAUACAAUGUCAAAAUAGAGAAGGAUAAAAUUCACUGGUUCUUGUUAGGACUAAAUGAGGAUUUUAAGACUCUAAGAGGGCAAAUCCUUUUAUAUGAUGAACUACCCAACAUGAACAAAGUUUUUUAUCUUGUCAUAAAAGAAGAAAAACAGAAAAUCUGUUUUAGAGAUAAAAAUGAUAGGCCCAUAGAAUCAUCUGCCUUAUAUGCUAAAAGAACAAAUGAAAAAGAAGAAGAGAAAGAAUUCUAUAGCAAAAAUGGAAAAAAAUUAGAUGCUUCAAAGUACUGUGACAAUUGCAAUUAUUAUGAACAUAUAAGAAAAAAUUGCUAUCAUAUUGUGGGGUUUCCAAAUGACAAGAACAAAGAGAAUAACUAAAAAGGAAAUAAACAAGUUCAAGAAACGUAAGAUUGAGUCUGCAAAUCAAGCCUCGUUCUCAAACUCUACCAUUCCAGGAAUGUCUAGUGAAAAAAUUCUAAUGCUCAAGGACUUCUUGAAAAACAAUGGUAUGAGUCAUUUUUUUAAUACUUUAAAUUUUAAAAUAAAUCAUUUAUAUAAUGUGAUAGAUCUUAAAACAGAAUGGAUCAUAGAUACUGGAGCUUCCAAACAAAUGACUGGGAAUUUUCAGAUCUUUGAUAAACCACCAACUGAAAAUGGUGAACAUUUUGUCACCAUUCCAAGUGGUGAGAUAUGUAGAACUAAAUCAACAAGAAAAAUAACACUUUCCAAAGAUCUAAUUCUACAAGAUGUUCUUUAUAUACCACAAUUUAAAGUAAACUUAAUUUCAGUAAAUAAACUAACUCUGGACAGCAAUUUAAAAAUUUUAUUUGAUGACAAAAAUUGUUAUUUUCAGGGAAGCAAGUUAAGGAGAGUGAUUGGGAAGGGUAGGAGCCAAGAUGGGCUCUACAUAUACAGUUCUAAUCCUCCUGGUUAUGCAUAUACAUCCCUAGACUCUAAAACAUGGCAUAACAGACCUGGACAUAUUUUCAAUGAGAAGCUUGUUAUGUUAGUCAAAAAUCAGCAAAUAGAAUGUAGAAUAAAAAGUUUACUAUGUAAUAAAAAUUCUGUUUUGGAUGAUUGCAAUAAAGUUUUUUCAAAUAAAAAUUGUGAUGUUUGUCCUUUAUCCAAAC